rnacentral:rRNA from 1 species
GAUGAACGCUGGCGGCGUGCCUAAUACAUGCAAGUCGAGCGAACGGACGAGAAGCUUGCUUCUCUGAUGUUAGCGGCGGACGGGUGAGUAACACGUGGAUAACCUACCUAUAAGACUGGGAUAACUUCGGGAAACCGGAGCUAAUACCGGAUAAUAUUUUGAACCGCAUGGUUCAAAAGUGAAAGACGGUCUUGCUGUCACUUAUAGAUGGAUCCGCGCUGCAUUAGCUAGUUGGGAAGGUAACGGCUUACCAAGGCAACGAUGCAUAGCCGACCUGAGAGGGUGAUCGGCCACCCUGGAACUGAGACACGGUCCAGACUCGUACGGGAGGCAGCAGUAGGGAAUCUUCCGCGAUGGGCGAAAGGCUGACGGAGCAAAGCCGCGUGAAUGAUGAAGGUCUUCGGACCGUAAAACUCUGUUAUUAGGGAAGAACAUAUGUGUAAGUACCUGUGCACAUCUUGACGGUACCUAAUCAGAAAGCCACGGCUAACUACGUG